rnacentral:rRNA from 1 species
GACGAACGCUGGCGGCGUGCUUAACACAUGCAAGUCGAACGGAGCGGCCCUUCUUUUGGGGUGUCCUCGCGUGGCGAGCGUGUGUAUCACACGUGAGUACCCUCCCCUUCACUUUGGUAUAUCUUCAGAACACUGGCUCUUAUAGCGUACAGCCUCUCCUGCUGCCUGCUGGGGUUUGGAAUGUUUCGGCUGUUGGGGAUGGACUCGCGUCUUAUCAGCUUGUUGGUGGGGUAGUGGCUUACCAAGGCUUUGACGGGUAGCCGGCCUGAGAGGGUGACCGGCCACACUGGGACUGAGACACGGCCCAGACUCCUACGGGAGGCAGCAGUGGGGAAUAUUGCGCAAUGGGCGGAAGCCUGACGCAGCAACGCCGCGUGCGGGAUGACGGCCUUCGGGUUGUAAACCGCUUUCGGCAGUGACGAAGCGAGAGUGACGGUAAUGGGAAAAGAAGCACCGGCCAACUACGUG